rnacentral:rRNA from 1 species
UCUCAGUUCGGAUCGGAGUCUGCAACCCGACUCCGUGAAGCUGGAUUCGCUAGUAAUCGCGCAUCAGCCAUGGCGCGGUGAAUACGUUCCCGGGCCUUGUACACACCGCCCGUCAAGCCAUGGGAGCCGGGGGUGCUUGAAGUGCGUCGCCGCGAGGCGCGCCCUAGAGCAAAACCGGUGACUGGGGCUAAGUCGUAACAAGGUAAC